UAAACCCAAAGGCGUAAUGAAAGUAAAAAGUGGAAUAUUGUUAAUUUUAAAGAUUUCUUUAUUUUUAAACAAUUUCCAUUUUAGGGAAGAUGGAAAGUAAACACAAUUUCUUUCUGAUAAGAUUUACUUUUAUCGAUGAGAUUGAUAUUGCUUUCUCGCAUUCCCGGGGCGCUUGUUUCUCGCUUGCGAGUCAAUGCGCACCUAGAGCGUACACGGUGAUACCCGAAAGAUGGUGAACUAUGCCUGGCCAGGACGAAGCCAGGGGAAACCCUGGUGGAGGUCCGCAGCGAUUCUGACGUGCAAAUCGAUCGUCGGAGCUUGGUAUAGGGGCGAAAGACCAAUCGAACCAUCUAGUAGCUGGUUCCCUCUGAAGUUUCCCUCAGGAUAGCUUGCGCUCAAUUGAACCGAGUCUCAUCCGGUAGAGCGAAUGAUUAGAGGCAUUGGGGUCGAAACGACCUCAACCUAUUCUCAAACUCCAAAUAGAUGAGAUCCCCGGCUUUCUUAAAAUUGAAGCCGUGGGAUUUGGAUCAGAGUGCCAAGUGGGCCAAUUU
rnacentral:rRNA from 1 species